rnacentral:lncRNA from 1 species
AAAAUCUAACGCUCCAAAUCAUCCCACUAACAAAACGUUGAGCACCAACGAAACAUUUAGCGCCCUAACCUCCUCACUAAUCCCCCACCCCACGUACCCACUCGCACCUAUCCAAACGGGACAACGGUUCCUAUGAUAGGGACACCGCCCGACGCGCCUAAGCCCAUGCAGUUGCGGCCGCCCCACGCGACGCAACCGGCAGAACGGCAUCACCGCCUCCCUGCUGCCAGCCCCGCCUAUCCACACGACGAUGCCGCUCACCGCCUCCUCCCCAAGCAACCGUUGCCAACGCGCAUCGUUCCGCGUCCGGAUCCAGGCGAGCGAGGCGAGCUGGAGGUAAAGGCUGGUCGUGAUGCAGAUGACGCUGGCAGCGGCGAUCUCCGGCCAGAUCCGGUCAAGAAUGCAUUUGUCGGUUUUUGAAAGGAAUGUUAAGAGACAAAGUACUUCGGCUUUUUUUAAUAUAGAUCAUAGUAGUAUUUUCAUGCUGUAAAUUUUAGAUUUGAUAAGAUACGUUGACUUGAUAUUUUUUAUGGUUGUAUUUUAGAAAAAUAUUGAGGUGUGAAGUUAGAAUACGAGAUAUAACUGUUCCACAAUAUGUGUAUUGUUGCGUAAAUCUUGGCUCUCUACAUCAGCCUUCAAUCACUUGAAGGUACAUUGCGGUACUGAGUAUGUACGUAUCUACAAUUUUUUAUCAUGUUUUAAUUCUCUCAAUCUGUUCAUAGAUGAAUGUCCGCUGUUAUUUUUACUUGAGUUUAAUCUGAUCUAUGGAUAAACUAAGUGCAAACAUAAUCUAUAUGUAUUCUUUUCAACGAUAAUUUUAUAUUUGGCUUUUCAAACUAACCACAAUAUGUUUAGAAACAAUAAAGUUCUUUAGAAAUCCCUUGAAACGUUCUCCAACAAAAGCAAACGAAGGGCAUACCAGUUUCUUUUUAUUACGAGCCUCAAACUUAUUGUAUUCUAAAAUCCGAAUAUGUUCCCAUUUGUUCAUUUCUUUCAUGCAAAGUAAGCAAUUGUGCACCCAUUGUUGGAUCAUUUAGCUAUUCUCUACUACCUCAUCCAGUAAUAUUUCUUUUGUGGUUUCACUGAAUUAACAAAAUAGUUUUUAUAGCUUAUCUGCACAGGCAUAUGCUAAGAUUGUGUCGACAACAUGUCUCCUUGGUACUACUUGUGAAAAAUUGAUGAAUUAAUUCGUUGGAAUAUGAUGCUUAUCUGCUCAUUUAUUUAUUUACAGUUUGUGAUCGGAUCGGAUUCGAGGUGUAUUUAUAGUGAUCACAUAAAUGGAAAGCUACAUAAAGAUACAUGAGACAAGAGGUUAACACUCUUCUAUGUGUUACCCUCUAUUAUUAGAUUGUAUUGUUGACACUGAUUUUGUGGCCCAAAUAUGGUGAGUACAAUUUUACCUUAUAUAUGUUUGUUGAUACAACAAUGCUCUUUACCAAAUAUCAAUUUAGGCGAGUGUAGCUUAGCUUGGGGCCAUCCUUGUGCAGUUAUUGCCAUCUUCAUGCCUCAUAAGUUGCUUCUACCAUGCAUGGAAGACAAAGACGUCACCGACAGACCCCAUAAGUUGCUUCUAUCAUGCAUGGAAGACAAAGACGCCACCGAUAGCAGCGACGCGCAUAGUGAGGUCAUUGCAUGGCAGGAUUUUGUUUUGAGUUGCUUGGAGACAUCCAGUGUCGGUGUUUUCCGACUUCAUUGCCCUGUUUUUUUAGUGAAAAUCUGAACAUAUGUAGUUGAUUUACAUUAUUUGAUCGCCCUGCAAUAUUUUUUGUCAUGGUUAUUACGAGCUUGAAUAUAGAAUAAGCAGCAUAUCUAUUUAAUAUAUGCAAUAAAAUUUUGUGCAUUAGUUUGUACCUGCAUUUGCACAGGUGCAUGUGAUUAUUCAGGUCAGAUUAUCCAUGUGUUCUGUUUGCCACCAAAGUUAGAUGCCUCUCCUCAUUUUUAGAUUAUGAUUUGAAGUCUUGUUUAAAUAGUCCUAUUUGUACUUCAUGGAUUGUAUAUGUAUAUGAUGUUAAAAGCAGAUGUAACCUUAUUUAUUUUUAUAUUAAUAUCAAAUGCCUCUUGGCAAACACCUAGCAU